rnacentral:lncRNA from 1 species
AAGCCCGGAAAGGGAGGAUGUGGAGGUAUUCACUGUAUUCCCCUGAAAUAGCAACUGCCUGCAAUUAUGAAAAGCCUAAUGAGUUGGUUGUGCAAUAUUAUUGAUUAUUGUUUAUGAUUUUGGCGCCGUUUAUUUGGCUAAUAAUACAAAAUUGAUGUAAUUUCCAAUGUUAUUAGACACCUGUAUUUGUAGAAGAUACUUUUUGGUAUCUAUAAUAAGAAAUAAGAAAUGUUUUAAUUGUUCAUAAAUAUAUAGUCUAAUGCAAGGCUGAUAAUUGAAUUUAAGAUGAUUCUGAAUUAGAAAUAGUAUCCCAUUGCAUUCUGGUGGAGUUAUGUAGAAAGCUGGUAAGCAACUAGAACAGCAGCAAAGGGAAUCCUCUAGCUUAACUAGUUUGGAUGUGUAUAAAUUACAUCUAGGGUGGAGAAGUUCUUGAUACUCAUAGGGCACCAUAGUAGAUGUGUUUUGAAGCCAUAAGGAUUAAUUUUAGGAAGUGUUUCUAAUUUUUCUAAUACUUUGAAAGAAAAAAAAAUUCAAGUAUUAAAAAGACUAGAAACACUUCUUAAAAUCAUUAUCAAACACAUUCUUAAUUUAAAAUCGGAUGGGGUCUUAGUUUCUUUUGGUAGUCAUUUUUUAUUUAUUUAUUUUAUUAUUAUUGUUAUUGUUAUUUGCCUAGGAUGCUGUCUGAAUCCACCUUAAAUCUCAAGUGUGAGAUAGAUCAAGGUGGUGUGUGAUCCUUCAACUUUUUCUAUAUUCUAAGAAGUUGGUUUGUCCAGGUGUUUAAUUUAAAAAAAAAGUCAGAUUUUUUUGAAAAUAUAACUUUGGUUAAUUAAAAAUUUCAAAAUUAUGCAAUAUCGUGAUCAAGUACAUGAAGCAGCAAUUGUACUGAGAACAUAAAGAACAUAAAAUUGUUUUCAAUAGCAGUUGCUAAAUAGGGACUAAGACAUGUGCAUCUCUAACACAUGCACCCAAUUCUUAUUUUUGACCACUUCAUUUCAAAAUUUUGUAAUUUUUGAAAUAAAUUUAUAUAUAACAGGUGAUUUAAGUGAUCUAUUAAUUAUUGGAUGUAAAUCUUACUUUGGGAGUUUUGUCUCCCUCUUAGUGACUAAAAGAUAGAGUUGUGCAUCAACCAACUUCUUUAUAGAAAUAUACAUCUUAUUCAUAGAAAAGAUACAAGGUAAAUAUUUUUUUAGGUCUUUUAUAAAUUUAUGUGUUUUCAUCACUGUAUGGGUAAGAUUAUUGUAUACACUCACAAAGAAUUGUGAUACUUGGAUAACACAAUCUUAUGAUUAUGGUGAGUUAAAUUUUCUAGGCUUCCACUGUUUUAAAAAAUUUAGGCUAUGUUUGGUUCCUGAAAUUUUUAAAGGAAAAUGCAAAGAAAAGAAAAUAAUGAUAGAAAGUAAAAAAGAAAGAAAAAAAGAUGAAAAAAUAAAUAAUAAAUUAUAUACUUUUACAAACUCUUUUAAUUUAUUUUUUCUCUUUUAUCUAAAGAUUAAAUAAGCUAAAAAUAUAUAAAUUUUUUACUAAUUUUAUUUAUAUUUUAUUGUGUUUGAUGAUAAAACCAACAUGGGGUGAGUGUUGAUAUAUCUCCCUUUCACCUUUUCGACAAGGAUAGAUAAUUGGAUUGAUCAUCACACCCAAGAAGCUUCAAGCUGUAAUAUCCCACAAGAUUGCCCUUAGCCUCAGGGCAUAGGGUGUUAUACAAGGGGUUAAGUUCAAUUGCAAAGUUCUAAGUGUCAAACGUUAAGACAUGCAUAAGACCUUUGCAGAAGAGCCAAAAAACUAAUAUAUUCAGUUUGUGGUUAAUUACAAUCUGCAUUAAUACUACUACAUAAAUAUAAACCACCCAAGCACUUAUAGAUCCGAGGUUGCUCAUUAUACUGCUACUAGUUACAUAUAAAAGAUCCUAACUCUAAGUCAGGCCAGCAUCCAUUUUCACCUCUUUGCGACAAAAUAAAUGGAACAAUAUAAUAAUACAAGGUAGUCAAAUUACUUCUGGUAUAUAAAUUUUUUCAUACUUCUGGUUGUUGCACCCCACUAGAUAAGAAAAAAAAAGGCAAAUGAAGCAAUAAAACUAGAAUUUGCAGUUUAUUAUAGACCACGAGUGUCUUGCAUUGUUAGUACCAUCUCAUUACACAACAAAACAGAAAGUUUCAAGAAGAAAAAGAGAAAAAUCAAACAGCAGUAGAAUAAGAAAAAAAAAAGAGAGGAAGAAAUAGAGCAGUAUAAAAAGCAUAUGAAUUUAAAUCCCUCAAGAAAACUGUGGUUAGAUGAUUUAGAACAUGUUUGACAACUUUUUUUUUAACACAUUUUUUGCUCUUCAAAAAAAAAGAAAGGAAAAUACGUUUGACAAUUUAAAAAUAGAAAAUAGUUUUAUAAUCUUAAAAACAAAAAAUAGCUUAUUUUUCAGAAAAUAUUUUUUUAGUUAUUUUAACUCAUUUUUGAAUCUUUUUUAAAAAAUAAUUAUAUAAAUAUAAAGUGAUUAGAAAUAAAGUAUUAAAAAUAAAAAUCAUUUUUAAAAAAGAUUUAAAAAUAUAUAUAAAAAAUAGAUUAAGAACAUUUCAGGUUUCUAAACAAACUUUUGUAUUGAAAAACAUUAGAUAACAACAUUUUUUAAAAACUAUUUUCGAGAACAAUUCCCAAACAAAGCCUUAAUUUCUAUAUCUCUCAAUUUCCUUCAUUGUCCAUUUAGGUUAUCACAUUCCAAAAUUUUUCAUAUCCCAUCAAUGUCAUUUUCCAUCCAAAUGCACUAGGCAACCUUGUUCAGAGGUUGAAAAGGGUGGUGGUGGUAACACAUCAGGAUUAGCCUUGAAAACUAGAGAAAAAUGAAAUAAAAUAAAGCUUUUCCUACAAGUUUUUAUUUACUUAAAGAGAUUCCAUAUCUCCCUUGAAUUUUCUGUUUUAUGAUUAGGUGCUCAAAGAUUGAAGUUUUUGCCUUUAUUUCAAAUGAAAGACUUACAUACAAGUUUUAAGGUUGAUGUAGAGGAGCCAAAGCAUAGUUUCACUUAGCCAACUAUAAGAAGGUUUGCAAGUAAAACAAUCUCAAGGGACUUGUAUUGCUGCUUAACUUCCCAUUAAGAAACCCAAGCAGUUUUACAUCCAUUUGCCAACACAAACACAAGUUGAAGCAACACCAUGACUAUAAAGGAAAAAGAAAUGAAGAUAGAAGUCCAACAAUUCAAGCAGUAUACAUAGUUUAAGAAAUCUUUCAAGGAAAUUUGGGUUGGAUAAAUUCAGCCUCUGUGCCCCCCUUCUUUCUUUCCUUGUCCAUUUUCUUUGCCGCUUUCCGAAGGUUUUCACGAACCACUCAUGUUUCCAUGAGGUCAAGCAGUACCCAAUUGAAACUCCGAUUACUAGCCCACUUCCGUAUCCCAUUAAUACAAAUUUCCAAUCAAAUUCACUAGUUGAACCUUGUUUAGAGGAUGAAGAUGUUGGUGGUGAUGCCUCGGAACUUCCACAUGCCCUUGACAAAGGACUUCCACACAAUCCCGGGUUCCCAUCAAAGGAAGCACUUGAAAAUGUUGCAAAUUGUUUUCCUUGUGGUAUAGGCCCUGACAGAUGAUUAUUAGACACAUUGAAGAAUGCAAGGAAUGUUAUCCUUGUUAGUUGCAGAGGGAUCUCUCCUGAGAGUUGGUUCUGGGAGAGAUCCAAUGACUCCAGCUGUGUUAGGUCCCCCAGGGAGGAUGAGAUAUGGCCAGUAAGAUUGUUGCCGCCAAGGUUCAGCAAAUGAAGCCCCUUGAGGUUCCCAAUGGAGGUUGGAAUUUGUCCUUUGAAAUUGUUGCCUGAGAAAUCAAUUGCUAUGAAAAUAUCAGGGAUCUGCUCAUAAAACCUCUGCAUACCUUUAUUUGUCAUUCUCAUUGAGUACAUGUAACUGUCAAUCCAGCUAUACCCUGGGAUUUGAAACUUUGGGUGUGUCUGCAUGUACCUAAGGUUGUUUGCAAUAUCUGUAAGUUUCAUGGCAUCCCAAUUUUGGAAAUACUCUGAUGGCAAAUCACCUAUAAACUUAUUGUCAGAGAGGUCGAUGAUGCGUAACUUGGGAAACCUGAAAUUGGACUGCCAGCUCCCUAUUGCACCAUGGAAUCUGUUGGAUCUCAAAAUAAGAACCUGUAGCUGUGGGAGGGCUCCAAGCCAAAAAGGGAAAAUAUCAUCGAUUUGAUUGUUUCCGAGAACAAGGUGCUCGAGCAUCAUGCAAUUGGCAAAUGAUCUUGGUAUUUGGCCUUGGAAUUGAUUUUCACCUAAAUCAAUCACCCUCAAAUUGUUUGUCACUGUGCAUGUUUGAGGAAUGGGGCCAUCAAGGCUGUUGCUUCCCAGAUCCAGUACGGACAGAGAUUUGCUCAAGUUGGCCAGACAUUGGGGAAUCCUGCCACUCAAAUUGUUAUUAGACAAAUCAAGUAACAUAAGAGAACUCAUGUUGCAAAUAAGUGGCGAAAUUUCUCCAGUCAGUUUAUUUCUAGAGACUGAAUAUUCAAUGGUUGAUGGUGGUGGAAUUGGAAGUGGUCCUUGCAACAUGUUAUAAUCAAGUUUUAAAGCCCUUAACCUGGACCAUGGAAGCACAACUGGAUGUUGGUCAAAGCCGGUUAAAAGGUUUCCAGAAAGGUCAAGCAUCCCUAGGUUUUCUUGGCUUAUGUUCCACAUCCACUUUGGAAUUGGACCAUGAAUUCUAUUAUUGGAAAGGAAGAGCAACUCCAAUUCAUCUUGGUUCUGCAGGAAAUCAGGAAACUCAGUUAAGUUGCAUGAACCCAAUCCUAAAAGCUUAAAUUUAGGGAGAGUAACAUUGGUUCUGGUGUAACUGAGCACUGAUAACCUGUUGCCUGAUAAUUGGAAAUCAGUGAGAUUUUUUAGCUUAGAUAACAUGUGGAGUUCCACUGUCCCGUUCAAGGAAUUUCCUUGUACAGAAAGAAAUUGAAGAUUUACAAGUUCAAAUAAUGAACUUGGGAUUCCACCUUUUAAAUUGUUAUCCCCAAGAUCUAAUAGAGUUAAUUGGGUGAGAUUCAUGAGCCAAGAUGGGAUCUGACCACUCAAUUGAUUUUCUGCAAGAGUCAAUUUAGUUAGUUGACUCAUAUUUACAAGAGAGAAUGGGAUUUCUCCAAUUAAAUUAAUUUGGUUGAGAUGCAAAGCAGUGAGUUUUGUUUGCUUACCAAGCCAAGGAAGGGUCCCAACACUGAAAUUAUUGAAAGAAAGGUCUAAAUAAGUGAGUUGGGUAAGAUUUGCCAUGAAAGAAGGAAUUUGGCCACUAAAAUAGUUAUUUGAAAGGUCUAAAUAGGAUAACUGGGGAAGGUGACCAAGUGGAGAUGGGACCAACCCAGUGAAAUUGCAUGAGCUGAUGUCCAACACUUUUAAGGGAUUGGUUUCCUGAAAUUCAGGCAAAUAAACAAUCAGAUCUGGAUUGUACCCCACACUAAGAAACUGUAGGCUUGGUAGCUGAAAAAUGUUCAUUGGGAAUUCACCAUGCAAUCCACAUUGUCUGAGAGAGAGAGUUGUCAAUGAAGAUAAAUUUGCCAACUCAUGAGGUAUUGUUGAAGAAAUGUUCACCUCGCUUAGAUAAAGUUUCUCCAAGUGGGCUAAGUUCUGAACCAGAUUUCUCAAGCCAGGCUUUUGAAGCUCCAACAUUGGGUUUGCCGUGAGAUCAAGGAAAACCAAGUUGGACAGUGCUAAGAGUUCCGAUGGGAUUUGGCCAGAGAAUACAGAAUAAGAGAGAUCGAGACUUCUAAGCCUUGAAAGCUGACCAACACCAAAUGGGAUCUCAGAGUAAUUGAAAUCAUUAUCAGAGAGGUCAAGCCUCCGGAGAUGAACAAGACUGAAGAGGGUGCUGCUGGAGUUGAUAGAACCAUAGAGACAACUGCUGGCAAGGUGAAGGCCGAUCACAUGGCCAGUCUCCCUGUCACACUCAACACCAUCCCAAGAGCAGCAAUCACUUCCUUCUCCUUUUCCUUCUCCUUCUCCAUGGGAUUUCCACAUUGCAACUUUUGGAUAAGCAGAAGGAUCACCAGAGGCUUGCCCAUUAAUCAAAAAGCUUUGCUUGAACUGAAGCAAGGCAGAGCUCUCACUAUCAUGGCACAGUGGCUGCUGCAUAAAAGAGGAAGAGUUAGCCACCAUUGGAUAAAAAGAUGAGAGUAAAAGGAGAAAACGCAUGAACAUGAAGAGACACAAAGUUGAGCCCAUAUUUUCUAUGGAUAAAAAGAAAGCAAAUGGGAGUGAUGAGGGUUCACAACCAGGAUCCAUAGUCUUAUAUAGUAAUGAGCAACGUGCAUUGACUGCAAUCCAGUAGACCUGUCUGCCCAUAAAUUUUAAAUCGUAUCAGAAUUUGCCCCUCUAUGAGUCCCUAUUAUUAAUAUUAAAAAUCUGACUCACAAGUCAAGUCGUCUCCGUAGGCUUAGGGGUGGCAUUAAGCAAAAUCUCUAUUUAUUAAAUGACCUGCGUUUACUUAAGCUGAUGAACUGCCUCUCUCUUCUAUUGGUGACUUGAUAGAAGCUCCGGUGGAGCCCAAAUUUCCAUGAGUGAUGAGACCGGGAAAAGAUUAUUCGAAAGAGUGAAAAGGCACCCACAAGCUGCAAAGACACUGAUGGCUACCCAGUAUGGCAUAAUUAUACAUAGAUAUAUGGUUCCAGGAUAAGCCCCUUGCCAAGUCUUGGUCACCACAAAAAAACCGACUAACAUGUCCAAGCAGUCUCUAUAAGCCGAGGAACUUCAAGCAACACUUCACACCACAUCGUUUUAGAAUGUUGGGUCCAAACAAACGAACCCAUCUUCAUUUGGAGUCAUGCCCACUCUUUUUCUAAGCUCAAGCAGAAAACGUGAAGAGAACGGCAAAAGACUGCAGCAAAUGGAUCGAAGUACCGUGUUUGAAGGUCAAGACAUUUAUGCUUAUAAUUGAUCCAACUGUUAAUCCAGGGUAUUUCAUGUGUAUGCUCGUACCUUUUUUUUUUCUUUUCUUUUGAAUGAAGUCUCUCUCUUUGUGUCGUUAAUGAGGGAUGUUAUAAUGUAUCCAUUUUUCCACACAAGGGCAUUGUCAAGCUCUAAGGUAGGGCCAAAGGUCAAGACACAUGCAAACGACCAAUCUAAUGGUCACACAUCCCUCUGGAAUUCUUGUUGGGAUUGAGCCUUAUGGGCCCACCAUGGUUGAGGCUUAGCACUUCCGAAGGGAAGGCUAGAGGCUUAGAACUGUGGCCCCUCAAUUCGCCAAUUGUUUAUUUGUUCCAAUAAAGGAGGUGUCCCUAGGAAUUGAACCUAGGACCAAACCUUUUAAGGCAACUACCUAACUGGUACCUUCAUUGACAUUUUGUGGACAAUCACGGGUCUGCCUCGAUGUGUACUGCGUCCAUGGCCCGGUAUCUUGAGAAACUGUGUAAGGAUGAUUGUGAAGCUCCUGUCCAGCUCCAGGCCUUCAAAUGUGACUUNNNNNNNNNNNNNNNNNNNNNNNNNNNNNNNNNNNNNNNNNNNNNNNNNNNNNNNNNNNNNNNNNNNNNNNNNNNNNNNNNNNNNNNNNNNNNNNNNNNNUCACUGGGUUGGUCCCAUCUCCACUUGGUCACCUUCCCCAGUUAUCCUAUUUAGACCUUUCAAAUAACUAUUUUAGUGGCCAAAUUCCUUCUUUCAUGGCAAAUCUUACCCAACUCACUUAUUUAGACCUUUCUUUCAAUAAUUUCAGUGUUGGGACCCUUCCUUGGCUUGGUAAGCAAACAAAACUCACUGCUUUGCAUCUCAACCAAAUUAAUUUAAUUGGAGAAAUCCCAUUCUCUCUUGUAAAUAUGAGUCAACUAACUAAAUUGACUCUUGCAGAAAAUCAAUUGAGUGGUCAGAUCCCAUCUUGGCUCAUGAAUCUCACCCAAUUAACUCUAUUAGAUCUUGGGGAUAACAAUUUAAAAGGCGGAAUCCCAAGCUCAAAAGGUGAAGGUCUAAAUCUCAAUUCCUGGGGACGCUUCCUUUAUUGGAACAAAUAAACAAUUGACGGAUUGAGGGGUCAUAGUUCUGGGCCUCUAGCCUUCCCUUCGGAAGUACUAUACGCCAACCAUGGUGGGCCCAUAAGGUUCAAUCCCAACAAAAAUGUACCGUGGCCCCUCAAUCCGUUAAUUGUUUAUUUGUUUCAAUAAAAGAGGCAUCCCCAUGAAUUGAACCUAGGACCAAACCCUUUAAGGUCCACCCAAACAAUGGGCUGAUUGAGGGGCCACGGUUCUAGGCCUCUGGCCUUCCCUUCGAAAGUGCUAAGCACCAACCAUGGUGGGCCCAUAAGGCUCAAUCCCAACAAUUCUAACACAGAAAUGGAAGUAUAUCUGUUUGGAGUUUCUAGUAUGAUGUCCUGGUCCAUGGUGUAUAUAUGGUCUAUUCUUUUAUUGAAAGAAAAGCAACUCUAUACUUCUCAUAGGAUUUUUCUUAGCAAUUUGAUCUAUUUUUCCUAUUAUAUUUAGGACAAUUUGAAGAAAUUGGCAAGCAAUCGCAUAAAAUAGAAAUAGAGGAUUUCACAAUAAAUCAAGAAGAUAAAAUUAACAUUAUGACAUGUCGAUGCAAAUUAAAGUUAUGAGGUAUAGAGAUAUAGAAUGAUAACUAUACUACAAUUCAUGUUAGGCUCCAUGUGAAAAGUGUUUUUGAAAACAAUUUUAAAAAAUGGUUUAUGCAAAUUUUUGUGCUUUAGAACAAAAGUAUGUCUAAGACUUGAAAAAAUGUUCUUAAUAUAUUUUUUAUAUUUUUAAAUAUAUUUUAAAAAUAACUUUUAUCUAUGAUUUUUUCUUUUUAAUUAUUCUUUAUAUUUGUAUAAUUAUUUUUAAAAAUAAUAAAAAAGCAAUUGAAAAUAAGUAAAAGAUGUUUUAUAAAAAAUAGUCUAUUUUAUGCCGUAAAGAAUAGAAAAUCGUUUUUAUUUUUUAGUUAUCAAACAUGGAUUUCAAUUUUUUUUCUCUUUCUAGAAAACAUCAAAUUAUUCUUAAAACUAGCUGCUAAAUAAGUUUAAGACAUGUCUCUAAUGCAUGCACCCAAUUCUUUUUUAAAGCAAUAUUUUGUACUUGAAAUAAAUUUAAUCAUGUUAGGUGAUUAAGUGGACUAUUAAUUAUCGGAAAUAACUCACACUAUGUCAGUUUUAUGUCCCCUUUAGUGACUAAAAAAUAGAACUGUCCAUCAACCAACUCCUUUAUAGAAGUAUACAUCUUAUUCAUGGGAAACAUAUAAAAUAAAUUUUAGGGUUUUUAGUCUAAUAUAAAUUUGUGUGUUUCAUCACUUUAAGGGUUAAGGUUAUUGUAAAGAUUCAUAAAGAAUUGUGAUACUUGGAUAAGAGAUAAACUGGCUUAAUCUAAUGAACUGCCUCUCUCUUCGAUUGGUGACUUGAUAGAAGCUCUGGUGGAGCCCAAAUUCCACAAGCGAUGAGACCACAAAAAGCUAGUUAACCACAAAAAUAGUGGUCGAUCGUCCUUGACCUCUUAGUAGUUGCUGAAUUAAUGACCAAAAUUUAUUUUCAAGAAUGCUGGGCCUUGCAUGAAAAACUCCAAAUGAAGCUGUCUCCAUCUGGAGUCAUGAUAACGUGAAGAGAACGGAAAAGACUUCAGCAAAUGGACUUCAGCAUUCUCUAACCCCCCCCACCCCCCACGAGAACGGAAAAGACUUCAGCAAAUGGGCUUCAGCAUUCUCUAACCCCCCACCCCCCACGAGAAAGGAAAAGACUUCAGCAAAUGGACUUCAGCAUUCUCUAACCACCCCCCACCCCCCACGAGAACGGAAAAGACUUCAGCAUUCUCUAACCACCACCCCCCCUCCCCCCCGCCCCCCACCUUUUUUUUUUUUUUUUCCAUUUUUAAAAAAAAAUCAUCUGGUUGAUAAAAGAAAUAUGUUGAAUUCAUAUAAAAAUUCCCUUGUACUUUUAUAUCCAAAAGAUUUGUGUGUACUAUAUCCUUAUUCUAAAGUUCAUGGAAAGAGGAUUUAUAAAAUGAUGAGGUAAGGGUAUUUUUACUUAAUUUCAUUUUUGGUUUGACUGAAGCUGUGUCUCUUUCUGUCUUUAAUCAGGAAUUUGGUAAAGGUCAAGACCCAUGCAAAAGGCCAAUCUAAUGGCUACACAUAGCAUCGGAAUUUUAAUGCAGAAAUGAAGGUAUACCAGUUUGAAAUUUCUGGUUCUAUUUCCUAGUUCAUGGUGUAUAUCUGGUCUAUUCUAAUAUUGAAAGCAAGGCAACCUCGCACUUUUCAUAGGAGUUCUCUUAAUAAUUUCAUCUUGAAUCAAGAAUAGUAGUUAGAUUAUUAAAGAAAUAAUUAAAGUUAUGAGAUAUGGAGAUUGAUAAUGAUAAGAGUUCUGCAAUUCUUCAAGUUAAAGCUCCACGUAAGAAAUGUUUUUAAAAUUAUUUUUGAAGGGCAAUUUUUGAGAACUAUUGUUUUCUUGAACAAAAGUCUAUUUAAAAACUUGAAAAAUUAUGUUUUAUCUAUUUUUUAUAUAUUUAAAAUAUUUUAAAAAUAAUUUUUAUUUAUAAUAUUUUAUUUUUUUCUUAUUCUCUAUAUUUGUAUAAUUAUUUUUUUAAAAUAACCUUGAAAAAAACAACUAAAAGAUACUUUGAAUAUACCAAAUUUUUUUUUUUUUUUGUCAAAUAUGUUUUCUUUUUUUCUUUAAUUCUAAAGAACAUAAAAUUGUUUUCAAUAGCAGUUGCUAAAUAGGGUCUAAGACAUGUGCAUCUCUAACACAUGCACCCAAUUCUUAUUUUUAACCACUUCAUUUUAAAAUUUUGUAAUUUUGAAAUAAAUUUAUAUAUAAUAGGUGAUUUAAGUGAUCUAUUAAUUAUUGGAUGUAAAUCUUACUUCGGGAGUUUUAUCUCUCUCUUAGUGACUAAAAGAUAGAGUUGUGCAUCAACCAACAUCUUUAUAGAAAUAUGCAUCUUAUUAAGAGAAAAGAUACAAGGUAAAAAUUUUUUUAGGUCUCUUAUAAAUUUGUGUGUUUUCAUCAUUGUAUGGGAUAAGGUUAUUGUAUACACUCACAAAGAAUUGUGAUACUUGGAUAACACAAAAUCUUGUGAUUAUGGUGAGUUAAAUUUUCUAGGCUUCCACUGUUUCAAAAAAAUUUAGGUUAUGUUUGGUUCCUAAAAUUUUUGAAGGAAAAUGCAAAGAAAAGAAAAUAGUGAGAGAAAGUAAAAAAGAAAGAAAAAAAUGAAGAAAAAAAAAUUAUAUACUUUUUCAAACUCAUUUAAUUUAUUUUUGCUCUUCUAUUUAAAGAUUAAAUAAGAUAAACAUAUAUAAAUUUUUAGCUAAUUUUAUUUAUAUUUUAUUGUGCUUGAUGAUAAAACCAAACAUGGGUAGGUGUUGAUAUCUCUCCCUUUCACCUUUUCAACGAGGAUAAAUAAUUGGAUAGAUUUUCACACCCAAGAAGCUUUUUUGAUAGGAAAGAACAUUGUUUAUUUUAAUUAGUCUGCAAUCAAGUUGUAAUAUCCCACAAGAUUGCCCCUGGCCUUAGGGCAUAAGGUGUUAUAAAAGGGGUUAAGUUCAAUUGCAAAGUUCUAAGUGUCAAACGUUAAGACAUAGAAAAGACCUUUAAUGAAAAGCCAAAAAACUAAGAUCUUCGGUUCAUGGGUAAUUACAAUCGGCAUUAAUACUACUGCAUAAAUAUAAACCACUCAAGCACAUUUACAUUCCAAGUGGCUCAUUAUACUGCUACUAGUUACAUAUAAAAUAUCCUAACUCUAAGCCAGGCCAAUGUCCAUUUUCACCUCUUUACGAGAAAAUAAAUGGAACAAUAUAAUAAUACAAGGUAGUCAAAUUACUUCUAGUAUAUAAAUUUUCCAGACUUUUGGUUGUUGCACCCCACUGGAUAAGAAAGAGAAAAGGCAAAUGAAGUGAUAAAACUAGCAUUUGCAAUUUAUUACAGACCACAGGCAUCUUGCUUUGUUAGUACCAUCUCAUUACUCAUCAAAACAUCAAGUGUCAAGAAGAAAAAGAAAGAGAAAUCAAAGAGUGGCAAAAUAAGAAAAAAAAAUAGAAGAAAUAGAACUAUAAGAAGCACAUGAAUUUAAAUCUCUCAAGAAAAUUGUGGUUGGAUGAUUUAAGGCAUGUUUGACACCUAUUUUUUUAAAACAUUUUUUGUUCUUCAAAAAAAAAAGAAAAAAAAAAAAGAAAAAAAAGGAAAAUGUAUUUGACAAUUAAAAAAUAGAAAAUAGUUUUAUAAUCUUAAAAAAAAAAGCUUAUUUUUAGAAAAUAUUUUUUUAGUUAUUUUCACUUAUUUUUUGAAUUUUUUUAAAAAUAAUUAUAUAAAUAUAGAGUGAUUAAAAAUAAAGUAUUAUAAAUAAAAGUUAUUUUUAAAAAACAUAAAAAAUAGGUUAAGAAUGUUUCAAGUUUCUAAACAAACUUUUGUAUUGAAAAGCAUUACAUAACAGUAUUUUUCAAAACUAUUUUCAAGAACAAUUCCCAAAGAAAGCCUUAAUUUCUAUUUUCCUUCAUUGUCCAUUUGGGUUAUCACAUUCCAAAAAUUUUCAAAUCCCAUCAAUGUCAUUUUCCAUCCAAAUGCACCAAGGAACCUUGUUCAGAGGUUGAAAAGGUGGUAGUGGUAACACAUCAGGAUUAACCUUGAAAACUAGAGAAAAAAAAUUAAAAUAAAGCUUUUCUAUGGGGACAAAUGGAAUGCUCCUAUACUUAAAGAGAUUCCAUAUCUCCCUUGAAUUUUCUGUUUAGUGGUUAGGUGCUCAAAGAUUGAAGUUUUUGCCUUUAUUUCAAAUGAAAGACUUGCAUACAAGUUCUAAGGUUGAUGUAGAGGAGCCCAAAGCAUAGUUUCACUCAGCUAAGUAUAAGAAGAUUUGCAAGUAAAAAAACCUCAAGGAACUUGUACUGCUGCUUAACUUCCCAUUAAAUAGAUUAACUCCAGUGCAAGGCAACUUUCAUUUUGCUUUUGUCCUUUUUCUAUGUGAAAUAGAUAGAAGAAUCUAACACAUGCAAGCUAGUGAUAGUACUUACUAAUAUGUAAGCACACAACUUGAUAAAAGUAAGAAGGAAUGAUAAAAGAAGUGACAACAAUAACACCUUCAGUUUGCAGUUCAAUACAAGCCAUAAUCAAGAGUCAUUGCUACACUACAUAUUAUUAAGAAACCCAAGCAGUUUUACAUCCAUUCGCCAACACAAACACAAGUUGAAGCAACACCAUGACUAAAAAGGAAAAAGAAAUGAAGAUAGAAGUCCAACAAUUCAAGCAAUAUACAUAGUUUAAGAAAUCUUUCAAGGAAAUUUGGGUUGGAUAAAUUCAGCCUUUGUGCCCCCUUCUUUCUUUCCUUGUCCAUUUUCUUUGCCGCUUUCCAAAGGUUUUCACGAACCACUCAUGUUUCCAUGAGUUCAAGAAGUACCCAAUUGAAACUCUGAUUACUAGCCCACUUCCGUAUCCCAUUAAUACAAAUUUCCAAUCAAAUUCACUAGUUGAACCUUGUUUAGAGGAUGAAGAUGUUGGUGGUGAUGCCUCGGAACUUCCACAUGCCCUUGACAAAGGACUUCCACACAAUCCCGGGUUCCCAUCAAAGGAAGCAUUUGAAAAUGUUGUAAAUUGUUUUCCUUGUGGUAUAGGCCCUAUCAGAUGAUUAUGAGACACAUUGAAGAAUGCAAGGAAUGUUAUCCUUGUUAGUUGCAAAGGGAUCUCUCCUGAGAGUUGGUUUUGGGAAAGAUCGAAUGACUCCAACUGUGUUAGGUUCCCCAAGGAGGAUGGGAUAUGGCCAGUAAGAUUGUUGCCGCCAAGGUUCAUCUAUAAUUUUUUUCUUUUUAAUUAUUCUUUAUAUUUGUAUAAUUAUUUUAAAAAAUAAUAAAAAAGCAAUUGAAAACAAGUAAAAGAUGUUUUAUAAAAAAAUAGUCUAUUUUAUGCUGUAAAGAAUAGAAAAUCGUUUUUAUUUUUUAGUUAUCAAACAUGAAUUUCAAUUUUUUUUUCUCUCUAGAAAACAUCAAAUUAUUCUUAAAACUAGCUGCUAAAUAAGUUUAAGACAUGUCUCUAAUGCAUGCACCAAUUAUUUUUUUAAGCAAUUGUUUUGAAAUAAAUUUAAUCAUGUUAGGUGAUUAAGUGGACUAAUCUAAUGAACUGCCUCUCUCUUCUAUUGGUGACUUGAUAGAAGCUCAGGUGGAGCCCAAAUUCCACAAGCGAUGAGACCACAAAAAGCUAGUUAACCACAAAAAUAGUGGUCGAUCGUCCUUGACCUCUUUGUAGUUGCUGAAUUAACGACCAAAAUUCAUUUUCAAGAAUGAUGGGCCUUGCAUGAAAAACUCCAAAUGAAGUUGUCUCCAUCUGGAGUCAUGAUAACGGAAAAGACUUCAGCAAAUGGACUUCAGCAUUCUCUAACCACCCCCCCACCCCCCACGAGAACGGAAAAGACUUCAGCAUUCUCUAACCUCCCCCUCCCCCCCCCCGAGAACGGAAAAGACUUCAGCAUUCUCUAAACACCCCCUCCCCCCCCCCUCUCUUCCACCUCUUUUUUUUUUUUUUUCCAUUUUUAAAAAAAAUCAUCUGGUUGAUAACAGAAACAUGUUGAANNNNNNNNNNNNNNNNNNNNNNNNNNNNNNNNNNNNNNNNNNNNNNNNNNNNNNNNNNNNNNNNNNNNNNNNNNNNNNNNNNNNNNNNNNNNNNNNNNNNNNNNNNNNNNNNNNNNNNNNNNNNNNNNNNNNNNNNNNNNNNNNNNNNNNNNNNNNNNNNNNNNNNNNNNNNNNNNNNNNNNNNNNNNNNNNNNNNNNNNNNNNNNNNNNNNNNNNNNNNNNNNNNNNNNNNNNNNNNNNNNNNNNNNNNNNNNNNNNNNNNNNNNNNNNNNNNNNNNNNNNNNNNNNNNNNNNNNNNNNNNNNNNNNNNNNNNNNNNNNNNNNNNNNNNNNNNNNNNNNNNNNNNNNNNNNNNNNNNNNNCCCUCCCCCCCCCCUCUCUCCCACCUCUUUUUUUUUUUUUUUCCAUUUUUAAAAAAAAUCAUCUGGUUGAUAAAAGAAAUAUGUUGAAUUCAUAUAAUUAUUAGGCUAUGUUUGGUUCCUGAAAUUUUUGAAGGAAAAUGCAAAGAAAAUAAAAUAGUGGGAGAAAGUAAAAAAGAAAGAAAAAAGAUGAAGAAAAAAAUAAAAAAAUAAAAAAAUAAAUUAUAUACUUUUUAAAACUCAUUUAAUUUAUUUUUGCUCUUCUAUCUAAAAAAUUAAAUAAGUUAAAAAUAUAUAAAUUUUUAACUAUUUUUAUUUAUAUUUUAUUGUGCUUGAUCAUAAAAUAUAUCCAGUAUGGCAUAAUUAUAAAUAGAUAUGUGGUUCCAGGAUAAGCCCAUUGCCAAGUCUUGGUCACCACAAAAAAUCCCACUAACAUGUCCAAUCAGUCUCCGUAAGGUAAGGAACUUCAAGCAACAUUUCACACCACAUCGUUUUAGGGUGUUUAGUCUAAUAAUAUAAAUUUGUAUGUUUCUUCACUUUAUGGGUUAAGGUUAUUGUAUAGAAUCACAAAAAAAAUAUCGUGAUAUUUGGAUAAGAGGUAAAUUUUCUAGGCUUCGACUUUUGGGUUAUGUUUGGUUCUCCAAAAAGAUUGAGGGAAAAUAUAAAGAAAAAAAGAACCAAGAAAAAUAGAAAAAAAGAAAAAAGAAAUAAAGGAAAAUUAAAAAAAUAGAUUUAAAAUCAAUAAAUAAUUUUUAUAUAUUACUUGAAAUUCAUUUUAAUACUUAUUUUUCUUUUUUUAUAUAAAAAUUAAAUAAUUUUAAAAUAUAUAAAUUUCUAAAUAAUUUUAAUUAUAUUUUAUUUUCUUUUAUAUUUUCAAUGAAAAAUCAAAUAUAAAAAGUCAUUUUCAUUAACAUUUUUUUUCUUUAUUUCUUUGGUAUUUCCUAGAACCAAACAUAGUUUUAAUAAAAAAAAUAUCAACACUUUGAAAUACCUUUUUAACCUAUAUCUACAUGUAAUAUAAUAUAUAACAUAAACUCCAUUGAAAAGUAAAACUCAGUUGAAAUGAACAUAGAUUCUUCAUAAAGUAAUGUUAAACAUUGCUGUGAGUUUAGUAGAUGUUUAAAGUUUAUACUUUCUUUGGUCAUGUAGAGUUGAAGAGAAAAUACGAUUAAAUUUUUGGACAAAGAAUAUGUAGUAGCAUUUAAGAGAGUAUUUGUGUACACAAAAUAAAAAUUUUAGUUUAUUUACAUAUGUUAAAAGGAGUGAAUUAUGCUUAUUUUUUUAAUUCAUUUUAAAUAAAAUAUUUUAACCAAGUUCUUUUUUGAUAAAAAUAUAAUUUGUACCUUAUUGAAAUAUUAAUAUCCAUAUUUUAUCAUUAUUGAUUAUUUCUUAACACAAAAAAUACUAUUCAUAUUUUACUAAAUAUUAUUUAUAAAUUUGUUUUCUCAAAUUUUCAAAAAAUUUAAAUGAAAUUUAAUUUAAUAUUAAUAUAAAAUUAAAAUUAAAAUCUUUUCAUAAAAUAAAAGAAAUUAUUUUUAUAAACGACAUUUAUUUUUUAUUUUUUAUUUUUUGUCUUUAAAAACUAUUUGCAAUCAAGUUUGGAUGCACUUUUUAAUAUCUAUUUUUUUAAAAUAAAAAAAUGAUACUAACCAAGAAUUAAAAUUUUGAUUUUUUUUAUUUUUUUUAUUUUAUGAAAUGUCAUCGAUAUAUCGAAUAUUGGUGGUAUCCGGUAUUGGGAAUCAACUAUCAAUGGGUAGGAAUUUUGAAAUUUUUUUUGGUAAUAUCAGCGAAAAAAUCGAGCGUGGGAUGGCACACGAAGGCAACCGAGAAGAACCUCAAAAAAUUCGUUGAUAUUUCGGAAAAUAUCACCUAUUUUUCGGCAAUUUUUUUGUGGCCCAUCCUGCCUGCGAAAGGCUCAAUUUUCAUUUUAUUUUUGCGGCCCAGCCCGCCGACCGAGCUCAAUUUUCAAUUUGUUUUGGGCCCAGGCCCCCAAAGCUUAAAUUUCAAUUUGAAACUGCCAAGAUUGGAACCAGGCCAAAAGGCUUGGGUUCAAGUUUGAUUACCACCUGAUAAUCUUCUCUUUUGAGAAUUUUUUUUUUUUUUUUACAUAAUAAAUAUGUUAAAGCUCAUUAUUAAAAAAUAAAUAAAUAAAUUCUAAUUAUGUUAUUUUAAAAUUUAUUUAUUUAAUAAAUAAAUAUAUAAAAACCACUAUUAUAAUUUUCUUAACAAGUAUUUUUUAAUAUCAUUUAUAUGAUAAUUAAAUAUAAAAAAUAUAAAUAUUAAAAAUUCGUAUAUGCAUCAUAAUUCAUUUUACAUUAUUAAAUGCAUUUGAAUUAAAUAAAUUAUAGUUUUAAUAUUAAAUAUAUUAUCAUUAUCUCAUUAAUGCUAUUUUUAAAAAUCACUAUCACUUCACUUUUAAAUUUUUUAUAUUUAUCCUUUUAAUUUUAUUUAAUUUUGAAUGUUUUUAUUUUAAAAUAUUAAAAAUAUAAAUUUAUUCAAAAAAUACUAAAAUAUAAAAAAAUAAUUAAGUUCAAGUAUUUUAUAAAUUAAAAUUAAUUUGAUCAGAUAAAUAAUAAAUUAUUAAUAUCAACAUAUCUUUGUUUACCGAUAUUUUUCUCUUUAACCAUACCUAUAUCAUUACACUUAAAAAAUAACUUGAACAUGUAUAUUUUUAUUUAUUUUAUCUUAGAGUUUCUCCAAAUAUUUCCAUAUAUUUUGAAUCGAUAUUUCUUCGAUAUUUUCGAUAUAUUUGUAAAAUCCAGAUACCGAUAUAUCCGUAUUUACCUAUAUUUCAACCCUUGAUACUAACUUAAAGAGUUUUGACUAACUCCAUCCCAAAGUUGUUCUUUAAUAAAUCCCUUGUUUUCAAGGUUUCAUCCUAUUCUAAAAUGGUUUUGCUUUUGUUUAACAUCUACUUAAAACUUGAUAUUAAAAAAUUGUCAAUGAACUAAAACUUAGAAGAUAUGUUAUAGAAAACAAAUCAUGAAAACAUAGAAAUUACUUUCAAAAACCUUUUCGUCAAAACAAUUGAGUAUUUAACAAAAAGAAAAAAAGAAAAAUUGUUUUCAAAAACAUCUACAAACAAGUUUUAACUUUUCAGUUUAUAACCAUGCAUGUAUUAACCCUUUCCUGCUCAUUAUAUUACAAGGUUUUUUUUCCCUAACCAAGUAUGAGAAAACAUGAGAAUAGAACUCCAUUCCUCUGAACGAACUUCAUCACCUCUCUGACUUCCUCAAUAAAAUCUCAGCUAUCAUCCAGGCUUAAUGGUGCCCAAAAUCUCAGAAUCAACUGCCAAAUCCCAGGGAAAAACGCCCCCCUUUAAUUUCAGUAUUGAAGGACACACACCCAUACAAUUAAUUAUAAUUCCAGCUUUUACAUAAAUAAAUGGACAAGACAAAUAAUAUAUAUAUAUAUAUAUAUAUAUAUAUAUAUAUAUAUAUAUAUAUAUAUAUAACUAAGAUCUUUAGUUCAUUGUUGAUUACAUUGCAAUAUUUCUACUUAAAUAUAAACUACCCAAGCACUCUCUUCUAUUGGUCACUUGAUAGAAGCACUGGUGGGGCCCAAAUUUCCAUUAGUGAUGAGAUCGGGAAAAGAUUAUUCGGAAGAGUGAAAAGGCACCCACAAGCUGCAGAGACACCGAUAGCUACCCAGUAUGGCAUAAUUAUACAUAGAUAUGUGGUUCCAGGAUAAGCCCCUUGCCAAGUCUUGGUCACCACAAAAAAUCCCACUAACAUGUCCAAGUAGUCUCCGUAAGGUGAGGAACUUCAAGCAACUAUUCACACCACUUCGUUUUAGAAUGCUGGGUCCACACGAACGAACCUGUCUUCAUUUGGAAUCAUCCGUACUCUUUUUCCAAGCUCACGCAGAAAACGUGUAGAGAAACGACAGAAGACUGCAGCAAAUGGAUGGAAGUACCGUGUUUGAAGGUCAAGACAUUUAUGCGAUCCAAUUGUUAAUCUAUGAUGUUUCACGUGUUUGCGUACUUUAUUAUUAUGUUUAUUUUGAUAAAAAUAUCGGUAAUUACGGAUAUAUCGGUACUUCAAUUUUACGAAUAUAUCGGAUAUAUCAGAGAUAUAUCGACGGAUAUUCUGAAAAAAAAUAUCGAUAGACUUAAAAUUGUUAAAAACUCAUGGAAAUGCAAGGAAAACCUCAUAAUAAUAUAAUUAGAAGUAUAAUUAACAUUUUAAAGUUGUUUUAUUGAAAAAUUUGAUAUAUAUAUAUAUAUAUGAUAUAAUUUGCGAUAUUAGAUCUAAUUAUAUCAUGUCGAUUGAUAAGAAAUGUUAAUUUUGUCAUUAUUCUCAUUAUAAAGUCACAUAAAAUAUUUUAUUUCAUUAAAUAUCAAUAAUUUGUACACAUUAAAUUCAUUAAAUAAACAUAUUUCAUAUUCAAAAUAUACUAGUUCAUGCUAAUUAAAUUAAUUAAAUAAUUUAGCAUGUUAAUUAAAUUAAUUAAAUAAUUUAGCUAAGUUAACUAGUUUAAUUUAAUUCUAAAUGUGAAAAUAAAUCACAGAUAAUCAUCUAAAAUAAACAUAUCAAUUUAUAAUUAAAUAAUCAAAUUAACCUAAGUUAAUUCAAUAAAAAUAUAAAAAUUAAUUACAAUUGAAUGUAAAAAUAGCAUUAAAUCAUCCAUAUUGCAAACAUACUAAUUAAUUGAAAAUACAUGAAUUAAUUAUAAUUGCAAACAAAAUUAAUUAUAAUUUAAAACAAAUAUACCUUAAAAUGAUUAAAUAAUUGAGCAACCUUAAUAAAAAUUGGAGUAAUGAGAGAGCAAAUGAAGAAUGAAAGUAAAAAUGGAUGAAAUAGAUGAAAUUUGAGUUAUUUAUAAAAGAAAUUUGGGACAAAAUAUCCGUUGGAACAUUAAUUUAUCGUUGAAAAUCAAUUUUGGCCGUUGGAUAAAAAAACUGGGAGCAAUCGGGCCAUUGGAUCGCCAUAUUACCAUUAGAAUCAUAUCUAGGCCGUUAGAUCAACACGGGCGUGAUCUGGGCCAUCAGAUCACGUUGCAUGAAGGAGGGGAAAUAUCACCAAAAAAUCAGCGAUAUAUCUCCGAUAUAUCGCCGACAUAUCACCGAUAUUUUGCCACUAGAGGCGAUUUUUUCAAAAAAUCUCCGAUAUAUCUCCCCGAACCGAUAUAUCGCCGAUAUUUUGGCGAUAUUUACGGAAAUAUCUGCUCUCGAUUUUUCUCCAUGAAAUAUCGUGUCGACCCCUCUCGAUACACGAUAUAUCGGCGAUAUAUCACCGAUAUAUCUCGAUAUUUUCCUCCAUGGAUGUAAUGAUGUAUCCACUUUUCCAUACAAUGGCAUUGUCAAUUCUAAGGUGGGGCCAAAGGUCAAGACACAUGCAAAAUACCAAUCUAAUGGUCACACAUUCCUCUAGAAGUCUAAAACAAAAAUAGAGGUAUACCUGUUUGGAGUUUCUGGUUUGAUGUCCUGGUCCAUGGUGUAUAUCUGGUCUAUUCUAAUAUGGAAAGCAAAGCACCUCUAUACUUUUCAUAGGAUUUUUCUUAGCAAUUUUAGCUAUUUUCCCUAUUAUAUUAGGACAAUUUGAAGAAAUUGAUAGGCAACCACAUAGAAUAGAUCAUUUCAUAAUGAAUCAAAGUAUUCUUAAAAGUAGUUGCUAAACAAGACAUGUCUCUAACACAUGCACCCAAUUCUUGUUUUUAAGCACUUGAUUUCAAAAUUUUAUAAUUUUAAAAUAAAUUUAAUCAUGAUGGGUGAUUAAGUGGGCUAUUAAUUAUCAAAAACAACUCCCACUAUGUCAGUUUUAUCUCCUCCUUUAGUGACUAGAAGAUAGAGAAUUGUUCAUCAAUCAACUCCCUCAUAGAAAUGUACAUCUUAUUAAGGGGAAACAUAUAGGGUAAAAAAAAUUUAGGGUGUUUAGUCUAAUAAUAUAAAUUUGUAUGUAUCUUCAUUUUAUGGGUUAAGAUUAUUGUAUAGAAUCACAAAAAAAAAAAAAAAUUGUGAUACUUGGAUAAGAGGUAAAUUUUCUAGGCUUCAACUUUUGGGUUAUGUUUGAUUCUCCAAAAAGAUAGAGGGAAAAUGCAAAGAAAAAAAAAAACUAAGGAAAAAAAGAAAAAAAGAAAAAAUAAAUAAAGGAAAAAAAAAGAUUUAAAAUCAAUAAAUUAUUUUUAUAUAUUACUUUAAAUUCAUUUUAGCACUUAUUUUCUUUUUUAUAUAAAAACUAAAUAUUUUUAAAAUAUAUAAAUUUUUAAAUAAUUUUAAUUAUAUUUUCUUUUCUUUUAUAUUUUCAAUGAAAAAUCAAAUAUAAAAAAUCAUUUUCAUUAAUAUUUUUUUUCUUUAUUUGAUAUUCCCGAGAACCAAACAUAGUUUUAAUAAAAAAAAAAUAUCAACACUUUGAAACACCUUUUUAACCUAUACCUACAUGUAAUAUAAUAUGUAACAUAAACUUCAUUGAAAAGUAAAACUUAGUUGAAAUAAAUAUAGAUUCUUCAUAAAGUAAUGUUAAACAUCACCACCAGUUUAGUGGAUAAAGAAUAUGUACUAGCAUUUAAGAGAGUAAUUGUGUACAUAAAAUAAAAAAUUUAGUUUAUUUACAUAUGUUAAAAGGAGUGAAUUGUGCUUUUUUUUUAAUUCAUUUUAAAUAAAAUAUUUUAACCAAGUUCUUUUUUGAUAAAAAUAUAAUUUGUACCUUAUUGAAAUAUUAAUAUCCAUAUUUUAUCAUUAUUGAUUAUUUCUUAACACAAAAAAUACCAUUCAUAUUUUACUAAAUAUUAUUUAUAAAAUUUUUUUCUCAAAUUUUCACAAAAUUUAAAUGGAAUUUAAUUUAAUAUUAAUAUAAAAUUAAAAUUAAAAUCUUUUCACAAAAUAAAAGAAAUUAUUUUUAUAAACAACAUUUAUUUAUAUAUUUUUUGUCUUUAAAAACUGUUUGCAAUCAAGUUUGGAUGCAAUUUUUAUUUUCUAUUUUUAAAAACAAAAAAAAAAUGAUACUAACCAAGGAUUAAAAUUUUGAUUUUUUUCAACAAAAUGUCGUCGAUAUAUCGAAUAUCGGUGGUAUUCAACAUAAUAUUGGGUAUCAAUUACAAUUUCGGUAAUACCGACGAUAUAUCGGUUUGAAGGCGAAAUAUCGACGAAAAAAUCGAGGGGCGACGCGCGAAGGCAGUGAUGAAGAACCUCAAAAAGUCGUUGAUAUAUCGGAAAAAAUCAUCUAUUUUUCACCAUUUUUUGUGGCCUAGCUUGCCUGCCCAAGGCUCAAUUUUCAAUUUGUUUUGGCGGCCCAGCCCGCCGGCCAAGCUCAAUUUUCAAUUUGUUUUCUUAACAAGUAUUUUUUAAAAUCAUUUAUAUGAUAAUUAAAUAUAAAAAUUAUAAAUAUUAAAAAUUCAUGGAUCAUCAUUUAUUUAACAUUAUUCAAUACAUUUGAAUUAAAUAAAUCAUAGUUUUAAUAUUAAAUAUAUUAUUAUUAUAUCAUUAAUCCUAUUUUAAAAAAUCACUAUCACUUCACUUUAAAUAUUUUUAAUAUUUAUCCUUUUAAUUUUAUUUAAUUUUGAAUGUUUUUAUUUUAAAAUAUUAAAAAUAUAAAUUUAUUCAAAAAUACUAAAAUAUAAAAAUAAUAAUUAAGUUCAAGUAUUUUAUAAAUUAAAAUUAAUUUGAUUAGAUAAAUAAUAAAUUAUUAAUAUGGACAUAAAUUUGUUUACUGAUGUUUUUCUCUUUAAUCAUACAUAUAUCAAUUACACUUAAAAAAUGACUU